rnacentral:rRNA from 1 species
UACGUAGGGUGCAAGCGUUCAUCGGAAUUACUGGGCGUAAAGGGCUCGUAGGCGGCCCACUAAGUCGGAUGUGAAAUCCCCAGGCUUAACCUGGGAACUGCAUCCGAUACUGGAUGGCUUGAAUCCGGGAGAGGGAUGCAGAAUUCCAGGUGUAGCGGUGAAAUGCGUAGAUAUCUGGAGGAAUACCGGUGGCGAAGGCGGCAUCCUGGACCGGCAUUGACGCUGAGGAGCGAAAGCUAGGGGAGCAAACGGG